UACAGAGGCCCCAAGCGUUACUGAGAAUCACUGGGUUUAAAGGGUGCGUAGGUGGCGCGUUAAGUCCGUUGUGAAAUCCCCGAGCUCAACUCGGGAACUGCUUCGGAUACUGGCGUGCUUGAGGCCGGUAGAGGUCACUGGAACAGACGGUGGAGCGGUGAAAUGCGUAGAUAUCGUCUGGAACGCCGGUGGUGAAGACGGGUGACUGGGCCGGUUCUGACACUGAGGCACGAAAGCGUGGGGAGCGAACGGG
rnacentral:rRNA from 1 species